rnacentral:misc_RNA from 1 species
CCGAGUGAGGGCCUCUGGCCCGACCUCCAACCCUUUGUUGACCAACACCUGUUGCCUCGGGGGCGACCCGGACGCCGACGCGCCGGGCACCUCGGCGGACCACUACGACUCUGUGUCUGUACGUCGGAGUACUUUGCGAAUCAAUCA